rnacentral:rRNA from 1 species
AGUCGAGGGGUAGUUGUCUUCGGAUAAUGAGACCGGCGCACGGGUGCGUAACGCGUAUACAAUCUACCUUUUACAGAGGGAUAGCCCAGAGAAAUUUGGAUUAAUACCUCAUAGUAUUUUUGAAUGGCAUCAUUUGAUUAUUAAAGUUCCAACGGUAAAAGAUGAGUAUGCGUCCCAUUAGCUAGAUGGUAAGGUAACGGCUUACCAUGGCAACGAUGGGUAGGGGUCCUGAGAGGGAGAUCCCCCACACUGGUACUGAGACACGGACCAGACUCCUACGGGAGGCAGCAGUGAGGAAUAUUGGACAAUGGGCGCAAGCCUGAUCCAGCCAUGCCGCGUGCAGGAAGAAGGUCCUAUGGAUUGUAAACUGCUUUUAUACAGGAAGAAACACACCCUCGUGAGGGUACUUGACGGUACUGUAUGAAUAAGGACCGGCUAACUCCGUGCCAGCAGCCGCGGUAAUACGGAGGGUCCAAGCGUUAUCCGGAAUCAUUGGGUUUAAAGGGUCCGUAGGCGGUUUAAUAAGUCAGUGGUGAAAGCCCAUCGCUCAACGAUGGAACGGCCAUUGAUACUGUUAAACUUGAAUUAUUAGGAAGUAACUAGAAUAUGUAGUGUAGCGGUGAAAUGCUUAGAGAUUACAUGGAAUACCAAUUGCGAAGGCAGGUUACUACUAAUAUAUUGACGCUGAUGGACGAAAGCGUGGGGAGCGAACAGGAUUAGAUACCCUGGUAGUCCACGCCGUANACGAUGGAUACUAGCUGUUCGGAGCAAUCUGAGUGGCUAAGCGAAAGUGAUAAGUAUCCCACCUGGGGAGUACGUUUCGCA